AGUGAACGCUGGCGGUAGGCCUAACACAUGCAAGUCGAACGGCAGCACAGUAAGAGCUUGCUCUUACGGGUGGCGAGUGGCGGACGGGUGAGGAAUACAUCGGAAUCUACUUUUUCGUGGGGGAUAACGUAGGGAAACUUACGCUAAUACCGCAUACGACCUACGGGUGAAAGCAGGGGAUCUUCGGACCUUGCGCGAUUGAAUGAGCCGAUGUCGGAUUAGCUAGUUGGCGGGGUAAAGGCCCACCAAGGCGACGAUCCGUAGCUGGUCUGAGAGGAUGAUCAGCCACACCGGAACUGAGACACGGUCCAGACUCCUACGGGAGGCAGCAGUGGGGAAUAUUGGACAAUGGGCGCAAGCCUGAUCCAGCCAUACCGCGUGGGUGAAGAAGGCCUUUGGGUUGUAAAGCCCUUUUGUUGGGUAAGAAAAGCAGCAGGUUAAUACCCCGCUGUUCUGACGGUACCCAAAGAAUAAGCACCGGCUAACUUCGUG
rnacentral:rRNA from 1 species